rnacentral:rRNA from 1 species
GACGAACGCUGGCGGCGUGCUUAACACAUGCAAGUCGAACGGAAAGGCCCUGCUUUUGUGGGGUGCUCGAGUGGCGAACGGGUGAGUAACACGUGAGUAACCUGCCCUUGACUUUGGGAUAACUUCAGGAAACUGGGGCUAAUACCGGAUAGGAGCUCCUGCUGCAUGGUGGGGGUUGGAAAGUUUCGGCGGUUGGGGAUGGACUCGCGGGUUAUCAGCGUGUUGGUGGGGUAGUGGCUUACCACGGCUUUGACGGGUAGCCGGCAUGGGAGGGUGAACGGGGACAUUGGUACUGCGAGACGGACCAGACGCGAAUGGUAGGCAGUAGUGGAGAACAUUGCACAAUAGGCGGAAGUCUGAUGCAGAAACGCUCCGUGCGUGAUGCACGCUUGCGGGUUGUAAACCGCCUUCGCCUGUGACGAAGCGUGAGUGACGGUAAUGGGUAAAGAAGCACCGGCUAACUACGUG